rnacentral:rRNA from 1 species
GACGAACGCUGGCGGCGUGCUUAACACAUGCAAGUCGAACGGAAAGGCCCUGCUUUUGUGGGGUGCUCGAGUGGCGAACGGGUGAGUAACACGUGAGUAACCUGCCCUUGACUUUGGGAUAACUUCAGGAAACUGGGGCUAAUACCGGAUAGGAGCUCCUGCUGCAUGGUGGGGGUUGGAAAGUUUCGGCGGUUGGGGAUGGACUCGCGGCUUAUCAGCUUGUUGGUGGGGUAGUGGCUUACCAAGGCUUUGACGGGUAGCCGGCCUGAGAGGGUGACCGGCCACAUUGGGACUGCGAUACGGCCCAGACUCCUACGGGCGGCAGCAGUGGGGAAUAUUGCACAAUGGGCGGAAGCCUGAUGCAGCAACGCCGCGUGCGGGAUGACGGCCUUCGGGUUGUAAACCGCUUUCGCCUGUGACGAAGCGUGAGUGACGGUAAUGGAUAAAGAAGCACCGGCUAACUACGUG